AACGAACGCUGGCGGCAUGCCUAACACAUGCAAGUCGAACGAGACCUUCGGGUCUAGUGGCGCACGGGUGCGUAACGCGUGGGAACCUGCCCUUAGGUUCGGAAUAACUCCCCGAAAGGGGUGCUAAUACCGGAUAAUGUCUUCGGGCCAAAGAUUUAUCGCCUUUGGAUGGGCCCGCGUUGGAUUAGCUAGUUGGUAGGGUAAAAGCCUACCAAGGCGACGAUCCAUAGCUGGUCUGAGAGGAUGAUCAGCCACACUGGGACUGAGACACGGCCCAGACUCCUACGGGAGGCAGCAGUGGGGAAUAUUGGACAAGGGGCGAAAGCCUGAUCCAGCAAUGCCGCGUGAGUGAUGAAGGCCUUAGGGUUGUAAAGCUCUUUUACCCGGGAUGAUAAUGACAGUACCGGGAGAAUAAGCUCCGGCUAACUCCGUG
rnacentral:rRNA from 1 species